CCAUGGCUCCGCCUCCCGCCGGCGGAGAGAGACGCCCCCGUCCUGGCCAGCCGGCGGGCGGGCGAGCACAUUGGGCCCGAGCCCAUCCCCGCGUGUCAGAGCCCAGCGCGCCGCGGCUCAUCGCAGCCCGCACUGCAGCGACAGCCGCCCCGGGGCGCGGGCUCGGCCUCGGCCUGCCGGGCUCACGCUUGUGUCAGGCUCGAGAUCGGGAGGCGCCUCGCUUGGCUCCUCUGCGGGGUCAGCCCCGCUCUCCUGGGGCUGGACGGCAGCCAAGCUCUGCUGUGCUCAGAGUCCUGACUGAAAGUCAACCAUGGCUGGGAAGAAGAAUGACUGCGCUGAAAAAACACACCCCUGCGUGAUGCAAGUUUCAGUGCUGUAAAGGUCAACCAAUCAGAGGAGACCAGAAACUGAAUAUAAGAAGUCAGCUGGCAAGUUAGAGUGUGUGGUGGAUGAGAGAGGGAGAGAGAGUGGAGAAGAUCGAGAGGAGAGCAGAAGAUCAAGAGAAGGCAACCAGACAGUAGCACGGAGUUGAGAGCUGAGAUUGAAGGGAAAGAUCAGAGCAGAGAUUGACAGAGCAGAAGGAAAGCUGGCGAUCAGAGGAAUUGGCAAAGGAGUGUAAAUCUGAUUUUUUAUUUAUUUUAAAGAGACUGCUUGUGUGUGUCUGUCAAUAAAGCUGGAUGUCUGCUUCUGAAUGUGAUCUGCCCCACCCCAUCCUCUGAGCGGCCGGCCGCUGCUCACAGAAUGGUAAAUGUUAAUUGUUCAGUGUUUCUUUAAUGCUAUGUUGUAGCACUGUUUUAUGCAUCGGGUACUUGUAUGUUACAUUGUAAUAAGUCCAAAGCUAUUAUAUUUGAGGCCUUAUGCAUAGGUAUGAAAAGUUCAGUGUGUACCAACUCACAACAUUGUAUUUGUCUCCUAGUCUGUUUAGUCUUCUGAGUCAAUUGAAUGUAUAAUCUUUAAAAGUAAUCCAAGUGUGCCUUAUUAGCCAUGACACAUGGUAAUUUUUUUCCUUUCCUUGCUUAUUUUACCGAAUAGUAUAUAUUGCAACCUUUUUCAUUUCCGUUCUUUCUUUACUAAAUAUAUUGUAAUCACCUAUUUUUCUUUAAAUAAAUAAGACUUUGUUUUGGAAGUAUUACUGAUUGUGUGCCUAUUUUUGAUCAGAAGGCUGUAUCUGUGUCCUUUCAAGGGUUAGCUGGACUAGCCUGCUCCGGGGAGUUCUCUCCAGAUCAGAGACAAACCCCCUGGCAAUACCCUGGCAAUUGCUUAGGGAGGAUCAUCACUUUUCGCCCCAGUUGGAUAGGCAGGCCAGUAUUGAGAUACCUUAAGUCCAAAUAGUGAGGUAACAGUAGUGACAUCACCCCUUACUUUCUGGGUUUGCACAUCUGAGGGCAUGUCUACAUUACCAGCGGGGGUCGAUGUAUCGUGUUUAGUCUAGACGUGAUAAAUCGACCGCCGAGCGCUCUUCCGUCAACUCCAGUACUCCACUGGAGCAAGAGGCGCAGGCAGAGUCGACGGGGGAGCAUCUGCUGUCGACUCACCACAGUGAAGACACAGCGGUAAGUAGAUCCAAGUACGUCAACUUCAGCUACGUUAUUUACGUAGUUGAAGUUGCAUAACUUAGAUCGAUACUCCCCGCCCCCCAUGUUGGACCAUAUCAGGGAAUUUCUGUAUUAGAACCAUAAAGUGUAUGUGUAUAACAAGUCUAAGGCCAAGAGAGAGAAGGGGUAAGAUUGAAUUCCCCACAGCUUAAACUCCAAGAUAUUGGUAAUAGAAUAGGCCUCUUGCUUUCUCAUUUCCCUCUCUCUCUCUCUCUCUCUCUCUGAGAAACAUGCAAGGCCAAACUGCUAAUUGUGUUAACACAUCCUAAGACAGAAAGUCUGUUCUCAAAGAGUGAUAAGGCUUUGACAAAAACAACUGUAAUUGUUCUUCAAAACAGAACACCGCUUCCCACUCUUGGUAACUUUUAACUUGUUUGCUAUGUAUGUUAAAGUUUAAGUAGAUUUGCAACAUUCUGAGAGUUGUUUAGAAGUUAAGAGAUAGUGAAGUAAUAAGUGAUAAAUGUAUGUUAAAAUAGAGGAUGUAUGUGGAUGGAUGCUUGAUUUAGAUAAAGGAUGAAUAGUCAGGGAAGUGCCAGCCUAAGAAUUACAACUUCAGUCUCGAUUAGCCGAAGAAUGCUCAGAGUGGAGAUAACCGGAUGACCCCCGGAGGGCAAACCGAAAUCCAACCAACGAUCCCAAGAAUGAAAGAAUCAAAGAACAAGAUAAACACCUGACAGCCGUCAUGGAGCCGUCACUGCUGUGCCAUUUGUAUGAUGGACUUAUCAUUUCAAACAUGAGAACAGUGAGUUAUUAACACUUCAAAUGCAGUAACAGCAUGAUGAAGCAAUUCCCACAGACUGGCAUAGGAAUAAAAUCCUAUAAAAACAGACUCUAAAGACUGAAAACUUUGAGUCUGGUUCUGCAACCACCCUCCAGGAGCAUCGGAUGCGCAUCUGACAAGGACUCAGCUCCACCCUCGUGUGCAGGCUACCUGGCCAGUACUCUGCCACGAGCAACCUCUAGACUGGUAACAAGAACAACUCUGCAGAACUUGUAUGAAUGAGUGUGUGAAUGAAUAAGGAAUAGUAGUGAAAUAAUAUUUAAUUGCAUAUCCUGAUUUCUCGCUCUUUCUCUGUAUUUACAAUAAACCUGGCAUUU